UGGGGAAUUUUGCGCAAUGGGCGAAAGCCUGACGCAGCGACGCCGCGUGUACGAUGAAGGCCUUUGGGUCGUAAAGUACUGUCAACGGGGACGAACGCCUCAGAUUGAAUAGGUCUGAGGUCUGACGGUACCCGUGGAGGAAGCACCGGCUAACUCUGUGCCAGCAGCCGCGGUAAUACGGAGGGUGCAAGCGUUGUCCGGAUUUAUUGGGUUUAAAGGGUGCGUAGGCGGGUAUUUAAGUCAGUGGUGAAAUCCCUGAGCUCAACUGAGGAAUUGCCAUUGAUACUGGAUAUCUUGAUUACCGUAUAGGUAGGCGGAAUUUAUGGUGUAGCGGUGAAAUGCAUAGAUACCAUAAAGAACACCGAUAGCGAAGGCAGCUUACUGGACGUGUAAUGACGCUGAUGCACGAAAGCGUGGGUAGCGAACGGGAUUAGAUACCCCUGUAGUCC
rnacentral:rRNA from 1 species